UGGGAGCGCAGCUUUUCUCUUUUCUGGUUGAUUCCUUGGUCAUCUCCAAAAGAGUUCACUCUUCUUCCUCACAUAGCAAAAGCCAACUCCCUCCCCAUUUGAGAAAACCCCAGUCGCCAUAGUUACAAUCUCCAUAACCUCACUCAUACGAAAACAAAAACAAAAAUCGGAAAGCAAAUUUCUAGAUCCGAAAUUGCAUCUCAAAUCUGGAAACCAAAGCUUCACGAGAAAUUUAAAAAAAAGAAGAAGAAAAGCAGAAGAAUUUCUGAAACUUCAACUUCGAUUUUCAGAAACACAACAAAAAAAAAAAGAACUAAAAGAGUUUCAUCAGCUGGGUUUCACUCUCGGAUAGCUGGGUUUCGGAUUUAUUUUUUCUUCUGAAUGUGAAGUUCGAGUUGAACUUCAAUUUCUGUUGCUGUUGCUGGUUCGUUUUUGUUCCUGUUGCUGGGUCUCGCCAUUUGCUUCGGAUCUCUGUUGGUUUCCUUCGGUUUAUGUUCGCUUAUAUCUAGUUUCAUAUGAUGCAGCUUUGUGAUUUGAUGGUAAUUGCUUUGGAUCAGUUGUAACUAUCAGCCAACUUGAGAAAGUAGCUAGUAUGGACAGAACACCAUUGUUUUGCAAUUGAUAUUUUCUUUAACUGGAAAUAUGUGGCUAUGUCACUAAAUUGAAACGUAAUAGCUAUGUGUAUUAUAGAAUUUUGUGUGCAAGGAUUAAAAGGGGCAAUUGUUAAUUCAUUUGUGCAUUGGGAUUGUUCGAACUUAAAAUGUAAGUUUCCUCUUGCUGGGUGUUUAAUAUUACCUCUAGUUAAACUUGUGAACCCCAGCCUCGUAAGUUUGCUUAAGUUAAAUAUAUUUGAGUAGAUUUCUUGUGU